rnacentral:rRNA from 1 species
GAGAGAGACAUGCGCGCAUAUCAAUAAGCGGAGGAAAAGGAAACUAACAAGGAUUCCCCUAGUAACGGCGAGUGAAGCGGGAAGAGCUCAAAUUUGAAAUCUUAAAGGGUUUCCCUUUACGAAUUGUAGUUUAAAGAAGUGUUUUCUGUUGAGGUUUUGGUAAAAGUUCUUUGGGAAUAGGACAUCAUAGAGGGUGAGAAUCCCGUAUUUGACCUUUACUUUCAACUUUGUGGAUACACUUUCAAAGAGUCGGAUUGUUUGGGAAUGCAGUCCAAAAUGGGUGGUAAAUUUCAUCUAAAGCUAAAUAUUGGCGAGAGACCGAUAGCGAACAAGUACCGUGAGGGAAAGAUGAAAAGAACUUUGAAAAGAGAGUUAAACAGUACGUGAAAUUGUCAAAAGGGAAGCGUUUGACACCAGUGUUGUUUUUCUGAAAAUCAAUUAAAGAACUGUUUAUGCUAAGCUUGUUUAGACUUUAUCAGCUAACUGUUUAGUUUUGAGCUUUUCUUUAAUGCACUUUUCAGUUAACAAGUCAACAUCAAUUUCUUUUGCUGUAAAAAAGCUUGAGGAAGGUGGCUUGAGAUUCGUCUUAAGUGUUUAUAGCCUCUUGCCUAUGCAGUCGGAGAGAUUGAGGUCUGCAGCGUAGAUCCUUCGGGGCUAAAUGCAUUUGUGCUAAGUUAUAGCAUUUUAUAGACAACUUGUUGACUAUGAUUUGUCUUGUAGCUUACUCGCUUAUGUUAUUUUACCUACGCUUAGGAUGUUGACGCAUGAGAUAUACGC